rnacentral:rRNA from 1 species
GAUGAACGCUGGCGGCGUGCCUAAUACAUGCAAGUCGAGCGAACAGACGAGGAGCUUGCUCCUCUGACGUUAGCGGCGGACGGGUGAGUAACACGUGGAUAACCUACCUAUAAGACUGGGAUAACUUCGGGAAACCGGAGCUAAUACCGGAUAAUAUAUUGAACCGCAUGGUUCAAUAGUGAAAGACGGUUUUGCUGUCACUUAUAGAUGGAUCCGCGCCGCAUUAGCUAGUUGGUAGGUAACGGCUUACCAAGGCAACGAUGCGUAGCCGACCUGAGAGGGUGAUCGGCCACACUGGAACUGAGACACGGUCCAGACUCCUACGGGAGGCAGCAGUAGGGAAUCUUCCGCAAUGGGCGAAAGCAUGACGGAGCAACGCCGCGUGAGUGAUGAAGGUCUUCGGAUCGUAAAACUCUGUUAUUAGGGAAGAACAAAUGUGUAAGUAACUAUGCACGUCUUGACGGUACCUAAUCAGAAAGCCACGGCUAACUACGUG